GGGUGCGAUCAUACCAGCACUAAUGCACCGGAUCCCAUAAGAACUCCGCAGUUAAGCGCUUGAGCAAGAAUAAUUCUAAGAUGGGCUUGUCUUAUGACUU
rnacentral:rRNA from 1 species